rnacentral:rRNA from 1 species
UACGUAGGUGGCAAGCGUUGUCCGGAAUUAUUGGGCGGAAAGAGCGUGUAGGCGGCUAGGUAGGUCCGUUGUGAAAACUCGAGGCUCAACCUCGAGACGUCGAUGGAAACCAUCUAGCUAGAGUCCGGAAGAGGAGAGUGGAAUUCCUGGUGUAGCGGUGAAAUGCGCAGAUAUCAGGAAGAACACCCGUGGCGAAGGCGGCUCUCUGGUACGUGACUGACGCUGAGACGCGAAAGCGUGGGGAGCGAACAGG